rnacentral:rRNA from 1 species
GAUGAACGCUGGCGGCGUGCUUAACACAUGCAAGUCGAACGGAAAGGCCCUGCUUUUGUGGGGUGCUCGAGUGGCGAACGGGUGAGUAACACGUGAGUAACCUGCCCUUGACUUUGGGAUAACUUCAGGAAACUGGGGCUAAUACCGGAUAGGAGCUCCUGCUGCAUUGUGGGGGUUGGAAAGUUUCGGCGGUUGGGGAUGGACUCGCGGCUUAUCAGCUUGUUGGUGGGGUAGUGGCUUACCAAGGCUUUGACGGGUAGCCGGCCUGAGAGGGUGACCGGCCACAUUGGGACUGAGAUACGGCCCAGACUCCUACGGGAGGCAGCAGUGGGGAAUAUUGCACAAUGGGCGGAAGCCUGAUGCAGCAACGCCGCGUGCGGGAUGACGGCCUUCGGGUUGUAAACCGCUUUCGCCUGUGACGAAGCGUGAGUGACGGUAAUGGGUAAAGAAGCACCGGCUAACUACGUG